rnacentral:rRNA from 1 species
GAUGAACGCUGGCGGCGUGCUUAACACAUGCAAGUCGAACGGAGAACCCGGAGCUUUCUCUGUCGGACGAGUGGCGAACGGGUGAGUAACACGUGAGCAACCUGCCCCUGACUCUGGGAUAAGCGCUGGAAACUGCGUCUAAUACUGGAUAUGAGAUAUUACCGCAUGGUGUGCGUUUGUAAAGUUUUUUCGGUUGGGGAUGGACUCGUGGCCUAUCGGCUUGUUGGUGAGGUAUUGGCUGACCAAGGUUUCGACGGGUAGCCGGCCUGAGAGGGUGACCGGCCACACUGGGACUGAGACACGGCCCAGACUCCUACGGGAGGCAGCAGUGGGGAAUAUUGCACAAUGGGCGCAAGCCUGAUGCAGCAACGCCGCGUGAGGGAUGACGGCCUUCGGGUUGUAAACCUCUUUUAGCAGGGAAGAAGCGAAAGUGACGGUACCUGCUGAAAAAGCGCCGGCUAACUACGUG